ensembl:lncRNA
CUAUUGUGCCAGGUUGGGUUGCCAGUUCCAAGCCCCAUGGGAAGGUCUAACUUCAGGGACGAGAACAACCAGAAAGGCAAAACAGGUUCUGUCCUCCCAGGCAAGAGUAUUCCCUGGGUGUUAAUACUUUUGUCUCUGAACUGUUGUUUUUAGGCAAGUGAUGGGAGGAAAAUUAAUCUUGCAUGUUCUCUGUUUCUUUCAAGGAUUCCCCUUUCUACGUGCUUAUAAAUCAUUGGAUUUUGGUAGUAAUGUGGCUCCUUCAACUGUGAGCCUUGCAAUGGGAUAACAGAAGGUGGACAUGACCAUUAGUGGCAGCUUGCUGGGACAGCAAUGGGACAGCUAACCUCAAGGUGGCUGCGGUUUCCCUACUAACUUUGGGCUGGAUCUGGGCUAUAUCUGAGGAGGAGCUGCCCUUCCAGAAGGAAAUCCUGAGCAAAGCUGUGCAGCAGCAUUUGCAAUAUAGUUGUCCAAGGAGUACAAGAUAAAGAUUCUGCACACUCAACAUAACCAGACCACUGUGAUGGAGAAUGGAAGUUCUCCCCCAUCCACCACAUCUCUGUCCCCUCUGAAGUCAUUGAUGCAAUUCGUCAGAACAGGGUUAAGGGAACUGAAGCAGCUUGAAAUAUUGAAAUAUUUCAGUGGUGUCUGCAAGCAGUUCCUGCUCCCAUUCCAGUCCUCCUGUGAUCCACCACCUCCAGCAGCUUCUUGUCUGUGUCCUGCUGCUUGCUCCAUCCUUGCGCUUGGUCCUGGAAGUCACAUUCAGCUCCAACCUUCAGCGAAAUACCGGAGGCAAAUUGAAAGUGACUGGGAAUAAAAUAGGCUCUGCCACUCCAAGGAAUUCGAGGUGCUGUACUGUCAGAGAGGUUGUGGGGAAGUAACUGUAUCCAGAAACAUAUGGGGAAUGGAGAGAUCAAAUACAUGAAACGUAGCCGGCAGUGCACGUUCAAAACACAAGUGCAGAGAUCCUGCUAUAAAGGAACAAGAGGAAAUACAAAAGGAGAAUGUGAAAUGUUUCUCCGGCUUUCAUGGCUGUUCAUGCCACAAGAGAUCUCUCUUCGGGCUCCAAUCCUUGAUUGCUGAUGUUUUAUUUCACUGCUGUUAGACCUUUAAAUCAUGGUAAUAGUCUUCAGCACAGGAAAGGUAACUUGGGGACUUGAGUUUUGGUGGCAGGAGAGUUAAACGCUGCUUCCAGCAUGGCUGCAGCCAUAAUCCUCCUUGUUUGUAUCCCGUCCUGAGAACUUAUGCACUAGGCAAACUCGAUGUUAAUAGCAGCAUUGUACCUCAUCAGGUGGGCCAGUGAGUUAAACCAAAAGGGGGCUGGCAGGCGGCUUUUAUCCACUUACAUUCCAUUAAGAGGAGCUCUCUGAUCCUAAGGAGUUUUUGUUCCGACCAUGAAAGAUUGAAAAAGAAUUCCCACAGUGCCACAAAACUGUUAGGUUUGGGUUUUCCCUCCUGAGAAACCUGGUCCUUCAGUGAGACAUCUCAUCUUGCUUCCCACUCAGCUGUCCAUCUCCUCCAGCAGCCAGCAGCUCCCCCCAUCAGGAUCUUGUGUCCAGGUUGGAUCUGUGGCCAUGGCUGGAGUUCCCUCUUGGUUACUGCUCAGUUAAUUCCUGGAUCUGAUUUCCCCAUCCGCUCAGGUAUUGCUGUGGGAUGGGGCUGGCUUUUCCAGGACAGGGCAGGAGGUCUGCACCCACCACAUUAGAACAGCAGUGAGGAAGGGUCUCACGUUGCUGCAUCCCUGCUGUCAUUGACAGCUUGUUUUUGAGUCCUGGAACACAAUUCUUCCGCAACAAGGGGAGGACUUUGUUAAAUUGUAAAUGAGUAUUACUUCAAGUGCUCUGAGGAAAUAUGUUCUUUCCCCAUGUAGCCCAUACAUUAUUCCCACCUAGUUAUGGGGCCUCACAUUUCCUGGAACUAUCAGGCGGACCUUAAUUCUCCUCACACGACAUCCCUUUAAAAUUGCGGAGCUCUCUUAAUCAACCUUUGUAUCAGCUGCAAAUUUGCAGUAUGACCUAAUUUGAAAAAUGUCUCAAAGUGCUGACUCAAAUGCUCAGUGAAUAAAGGCCAGUCAUUGCCACCGUGACACUAAUGCAAUGCAAAACAAAAUCGAGUUGCAUCAGCCGAACGUUAGUUUGCAAAAAUAUUAGUGAUUGAAGCCACUUGCUGAUCAUAUUUUAUUUAU